rnacentral:snRNA from 1 species
AAGUGGCAGAGUGGCCUU